UAGGAAAGUCAUAAAUAUAUAAAUUAUAUUAUAUAAUUAAUAUACUCCUUUCGGGGUUCCGGUCUCCGUACCGGACCCCGGAACUAAUAAAAUAAAUUAUAUAUUUUAUUUAUAAUAUUAUUUCUUUAUAAGAUAAAUAUUAUCUAAUAAUAUUUAUAAAGAAAUAUAUAUAUAUAUAAAAAGUCAUUAUAUAAAUUUAAUUAUAAUUUAAAUAAAUUUUAUAUAAAUUAAUAUAAUAUUAAUAAAGUAAUUAGUAUAAAUAAAUAAUAUGAAAAUAAAACUUAAUAAAUAUAUAAAUAUAGUCCAUAUAUAUAUAUUAAUAAAAAAAAGUAAUAUAUAUAUAUAUAUUGGAAUAGUUAUAUUAUUAUACAGAAAUAUGCUUAA
rnacentral:misc_RNA from 1 species